GUCGCAGUAGUUUAAUGGAUAGAAUAUCACGUUGUGGCCGUGAUGAUCCUGGUUCGAUUCCAGGUUGCGGCA
rnacentral:tRNA from 1 species